rnacentral:rRNA from 1 species
CAGCAGCCGCGGUAAUACGGAGGGUGCAAGCGUUAAUCGGAAUUACUGGGCGUAAAGCGCACGCAGGCGGUUUGUUAAGUCAGAUGUGAAAUCCCCGAGCUUAACUUGGGAACUGCAUUUGUGACUGGCAAGCUAGAGUGUGGCAGAGGGGGGUGGAAUUCCCGGUGUAGCGGUGAAAUGCGUAGAGAUCGGGAGGAACAUCAGUGGCGAAGGCGGCCAUCUGGGACAACACUGACGCUGAGGCACGAAAGCGUGGGGAGCAAACAGGAUUAGAUACCCGUGUAGUCCCUGUCUCUUAUAU